UGUGAGUCCCCUGUGCACUCUUGAAUAAACGCAUUAUCUUUAGAGAGUCUGUCUGUUAUUUGGGUUGACAAGAUGUUUGUGGAUCUUAUGGUCUGAGCAUUCUCUCUAUUGCAAUAGUCCUCCUCUCCCUAUUGUAGUAGUACCUGUCUCCCAUUUGCAAUUGUCCUUUUGAAUAAAGCCUGUCUUAUCUUUGUCUGAGUUUAUUUUUUAUUUGACAACUCAAGUAGCUUCACAGUGAUGCAAGGCAAGCAAGCCCCAAAGUGGAGCUUAGCCCAUGAGGGUUUCUGGCUUUGCCCAGGAAAGACUUCAAAGACAAGGCAGGGGUAGAAGAAAAAAACACCUUUGAAGAGGUGGUGUUACAGCUCUGUAACUGUUCCUGCAGAGAAGGGCUAUCCUGUAGGCAGAGAGUAGAAGCUCAGGGCAGUUUUGCAUUCAUAUUUACACCCAUUUUUAAUCGCGUGCAGAUUAAGAGGUGGCUUAUGCAGAACUUUCUUGGGAAGGAGUAGUACUUUGGGAUCAUUGGGUUACUGCCAUGGAAAGGUGCAGGAACUCCUGGGUGUUGCCAUGGCAAUGAUAAAUUGACAUGGCACACUGGUGGGUGAGUCUGACUGAAAGCCGCAUCCACCUGGCUCUGUUUUAGUUAGUCCUCAAUCUGGUCGAGUGUCCGACCCCACCUCUGGAGUCAAGUCCUGCCUCCUACCUCAGCAGUUCCAUCCCACUCCUAUUGCAACGGGUUGGAGAGCACUGACUAGAGAGACAACCUAAAAUUUCUAACUUGAAUCUUCUAACCUGAAUCGUAUCUUCUAUAAGCACCUCUCAAAAAAAAAAAAAAAAAGGAGUUGUAAAGAGACACUUUUACAUGUAAAAGAAGUAAAAGUUAAACACGUCAAUAUUUAAGACUUUAAUUUUUUCUCCAACAUUCUCUGAGGGCUUUCUGUGGAUGGUAGAUUGUUCUCCCACCCCCAAACACAUUGCAGACUUUUAAUUGGAAUAGAUAGGUCAGAUGUAGGAGACCCAAGUACGAAGGCAUCGAGGUCAGAAGACCUCCGAGACUCCUAGAGCGGUCGGCGAGGGGCCUGCACGGCGCCCUGGCAGCACUUCCGGGGCGGCCCAUCUUCCCUGGGUACUUAAGCUCGCGGGAGGACCUUAAGGGCACGCGCGUCGCGGUGGCGGUGUUUCAUUGCUGUGCGGGGCUGGGGGCCCCGUGGCCUCUGUUGACCACUCCCUGCCUGUCCAGGAGCCACAGAAGUUCAGGAGGUGUCCCAGGGCAGGCCCUCAACAGAGUGAGGAUUAUGAAACCAAAUCAGAUAUCAAGGAGUCGGUUCCAAAGCAGGAAGUAUGAGAAGAAACAGAGAUACACUGAGCCACCUCCAGAGCACUCUGGAAUAAUGAUUCCCAAGAAUGCAAGAUUGGAGCACUCAAAAAUUGGGAAGACAGUUUGAAUAUUCCUC
ensembl:lncRNA